rnacentral:rRNA from 1 species
UACGAAGGGGGCUAGCGUUGUUCGGAAUUACUGGGCGUAAAGGGCGCGUAGGCGGCGAAGCAAGUUAGGCGUGAAAGCCCCGGGCUCAACCUGGGAAUUGCGCUUGAUACUGCUUUGCUUGAGUUCGGGAGAGGUGAGUGGAAUUCCCAGUGUAGAGGUGAAAUUCGUAGAUAUUGGGAAGAACACCAGUGGCGAAGGCGGCUCACUGGACCGAUACUGACGCUGAGGCGCGAAAGCGUGGGGAG